CAAGAUUAUGCCUGACUUUAUCAUCCAUGGUAGGGUCAUGGAUUUUAUUCUGAGUCAGAUGGGAAGGUGGGAGGGAGGCUUUAAGCAGAGGUGAGACUGAUCCGACAUUGUAUUUAUUUAUUUUCUUUUUUUUUUUUUAGACAUGGGAUCUCACUCUGUCACCCAAGCAGGAGUGCAGUGGUGUGACUGUGGCUCACAGCAGCCUUGAACUCCUUGCCUCAAGCCAUUCCCCCUACCUCAGCCUCCCGAAUAGAUAGGACUACAGCUGCAUGCCACCAUAACCAGCGAAUUUAUUUUAAUUUUUUGCAGAGACAGGGCCUACCAUGUUGUCCAAGCUGGUCUCGAAUUCCUUGCCUCAAGAGAUCCUCCUGCCUCAGCCUCCGGAGUCGCUGGAGUUACAGGCGUGAAGACACUGUUUGAAAGGGGUCACUCUGCUGUGUGGAGAUGAGACUGUGAGGACCAGGCUGGGAAAGGGGAGAGCUGUUUCCAGGUAAGAGGCAGUGGCUGCUGGAGGGGGUGAGAAGCCAGUUAGAGUCUUUUCAGAGACAUAACAAUGUUUGCUGAUGAAGGAGAGGUAAGGUGACAGGAAGGAGUCAGGGAGGACUCUAAGGUUUUUGCCCUAAAACUGGAAGUGGGACUUUCAUUUCCUGAUGUAGGAACAGGUGAGAUCCCACAGGGAAAGCCUGCAGCACCGGAGACACGGAAGUGCUGGCGGUACAGAAUCCGAAGAGGAGGAGAAGCCUUGGAAGAGGAAAAGCAAGAGAUAAACCAUCGCAUCCUGAGCUCUGCAGGGAACCAGAGGCGGACACCAUUCAUUCUGCAAACCUGCAGUGUUGACCCUUCUGGGACCUCCUCACCUCUUCCAGGGCUGCAGCCUCUAAGGCAGGUCCUGGCUCCGCCUCCUUGACUCCAUCUUCCUGGUGCCAGCUGAGCCCUGGAAGGGCCACAGCCUCCCCUCC
rnacentral:lncRNA from 1 species